rnacentral:lncRNA from 1 species
CAAUUACGUCUUGGCUCUUGGCUUCAUUGUUUAAACGAAAUUUCAUAUCCCUUGAUGGUCUUAACUUCACGUCGCCAUGACGACGGAUAACAGGAAUUGUGACGUCACUAGUAUCGAGACGGAUUCCUGCAGGAAAAAAGAUUGGAUUCCUUAAAAAUGAAGCAUUGUAAACAAGACGAAAUAAAAUUGAUGCGGAACAACCAACACUUUAUCACGCCUCGGAUUAUUAACCGCACCAUGUUUUAUGGAAAUUUCUCCAUUAUCCGACUUAAAAAUUUGGUUAGGAAAAAAAAACGGUAAUAAAUUAAAGGGGGAGAAAAUUUUCGAAUGUAUUAUUAUUAUUUAACAAAUGGAGCGCGUGGUAGCAUACAGGCGGUUUUUUUCACCACAUAAAGCCAACAAUUAUCCCCGGUGGAGUGUGUAGAUUCGUUUGCCGUUCGGAUCAGAAACAAGGAAAAAAAAACCCGCAGAACAACCCUCAUUCUGUAUUGAAUUCAACGUCGACUUUUGCUGCUCUUGUACAGUAUACAGUAUUGUAGUGACCUCUACGUUUUUCACGUCCACAGCUGGCUGCACGGGGAAAAGAGGGAGGGGAUGGGAGCCUGCUGCUCUCUGGAUAGAUCUAUUACUGUUUUCGGGGGGUGGACCGCGGUCGAAGUUGUCGUUGGUGUUACAAUUAGGACUAGGCAUUCCUGCUUCGAUAAAACGGGAUUGAGAUGAUCAGAGUUUGUGCUAAAAUAGAUUCUUCUGUUUUUCUCGAUAAGAUUAAGACGGCUUAUAAAAAAUGCCACGAAUUUAAAAAAAGAGAAAAAAAAAGGAGCACACGAGUUAUCCAUUAUCCAAUUUAGAAUCAAAACUCUCAUUCCCGUCGGUGUCGGGUAGUCGAAUAUGGCGGAAUUGGGGCAGCGUGGGGGAAUAUUGGAAGUGGUUCCUAGUAGAAGCUUCUGCUCAGUGUCUCCAGCCCAGUCCAGGCGACAUCUGACGGCCGUGCCUAUAAUUAGUAUAAUAAGGGUGUUCACUCUGGAGUUGGUCCAUCAGGAUCUGGAAAUGUUCGGGCCUCUCUGUCACGGAAAAGUAAUAUUUAACUCUCUUGGAAUAUCACGUGUGGGGCAGGAAAAUCCUCACGUGUCCAUCUCGUGCAGGAAGUUUAGCUGGAAACGAGGAGGACAUUAAGUGGUAUAGCACGUAAUGGUCGCAGCUGGACUUUGGACAUUGUUGACAGUAAUUAGGCUAGCAAGUGGACAUGUGACGGAGAUGUAUCUUUCUCUCUUCGAUUUUUCUCCUGUUUCCUCCUAUAGCUCUGACUCAACUCUUAGACUUUGUUAAUUUAUUACACGUCUUUUCCUAUGGUAUCCCCUUCCCCUCCUGCACGCGCUAAGGUUAAUGGAGAAGUUUUCCGUACUUAAGUUGAUUUUUCUUUCUUACAAGACUUAUAAAAUGAUUAUUUUCGGGUUUCGUCCCGGCUUUGAUAUUUGUCGGAAGUCUGAGAUCUUAUAUAUAUAUAUCACCAUCGUCCCAUCGUGGUUAAUUUACACACUGGUAUGGUGUCCGUUAAGAUCGAGCUAGUCGUAGUUUCGAACGGUUCUUUAGUGUCGAACAAUGCAAAUAGCGCUCAUCACACACAGGUCGGUUAGAGUCUCGUUCAAAAAUUUUAAAUGGGUCGGACGACAAGUGGUGUUGACCGAAUAUGAUAAAGAGAACGAGUAAUUGUACGAAUGCGAACAGUAGGCAGAACUCUCAUGAAUUUCUCACAGCUAUGUGGACCCAUUUCCCCGCCCGCCAGCGUUCCGUUUUUAGCUUAACGAACGUGUCUCAUUAAUAUUCAACCGCCUUUUUAACUCCACGUGUUCGGAGAAGGACAAGAACCGGCGGGUGUGGUCCUGGCCGCGUGUGUGUGUGUCUGUGUCUGUGUGUGUGUGUGUGAGCUGGAUUUCUAGCUG